AAUUUCAGUCAGUGCCACACAACUGAUCUGGCUGUCUUUAAAAGAUGGUGAUUGGAAUGUUCCCACAGUGGGUAUUAAGGGAUAGAAUCAUGGAACCAUUUAGGUCAUAGAAGAUCCUUAAGAUCACCAGGUCAUGUGUUCUGUAGGGUUACAGAUGAGUGAUUCUUGCAGAAACCUCAGAUACACACCUGAUCUACUCUCUAUCAGCCACAGCUGCCUCAGACACAAGUACAAACACUCCAGAUACCAGGAAUGUGGAUGCUUGUGAGAACUCAAAUUUAAUUUAUGGGAUCACAAGGGGGAUGUGUUUGGAGAACAAGAGAGUGUCUCCACAAGCAUUUUGGUUAUGAUGCCUUGAACUGCAGAGGGGUACAACACACUGCCACAGACACUGGAUUUGUUCUUCCCUGGAAACAGAGCCUGGUAUCAGUGGCUCUGUCCAAGGGACAGCAAAACCCUUAGCUGUUACCUGGUGGCUAAAGGAAUAGUGUCCAGAACACUGACCUCCCUCUGUACUAAAUACAGGGGGAUUCUCAUCGGCUGCUUUAACUUACACCCCUAAUGGCUGCACAAGUGUGAAGGAUCUCUUGACAGCAGCUUGACGGCAAAUCAGCUCAGCCAAGCUCUCCACUAGGAAACAGAAAUGACAGGAAACAGAGUGUGCAGCACAAUCAAUGUACACAGGCUCUCAAGAAGCCCAAGGUUUUGGCAGGAAGUCCAGUCACCUAUCAGUCCCACAGGUGAUGCAAAGAGUAGAUCUCGCUGCUACAAUCUCAGCAGCUGGGCUGUUCAAAGCUGUUCAAGCUGAGCAGCUGCUUAUCAAGAGUUAGCCUGCUUUUCAAAUUUCCCUUAGGCUUUACUAUAAAGCCCUAAAACCACAGACAGCUCAAAUAGUCAUGGAAAAGUUCAGCUUUCUCUUGAUCCUCUGUAGUGAACAGCAGAGGUCAAGAGAUUUCAUCCCAAAUUGAUCGGAGUCUGAAGUCACAGAAAAUCAAACGACUCUGGGACAAUUGUUUCAGCCAUACACAAUAAGCACUCCCAGUGUGAGGGUACCUUUUCUUACAGAAGAAUUAAUAUAUUAAGUUCAGCUGCAAGUUCAAACAACUAUUUGAAGGCUGAACACCACCUCUGGACACGGAAGGUACGAAGUUCUGACACUACAAAGUAGCCAGUGGAAAGAAACAAAUUAAUAUUAUUAAGGAGCUGGAGAAAGUUCAUACCCUAUUGCUGAAUUUCAAUGAGUUCAAAUACCCUACUGCUGAAUUUCACAGAGCUCAAAAUAAAUGAAAGCAGUUCCCACUUUGAAGACUGAAGAGACAAUGAAAAGGUGAAGAUGAUGACUUUCAAAUAAAAGGACUGGCUUCCAGACCAAUUCUAUA